rnacentral:lncRNA from 1 species
GAUACGGAAGAUGGUAGCUAGGGAAGUUUUAAAAAGACAGGACACGAUACUAAAAAGUACUGGAAAAUAAGAUAAGUUGUCAGUUGAGGAGAAAAACUUUCGUCGUCUAGCCAGUUUUUUCAGCUUAGGGCAUUUGCCGACUGAUCAAAAUAAUAAUAAGAUGAAUCCAGGACACGACAGGGUAGUAGUUCGAAGCUAUCGGUUCGGUCAGGUUCUGAUGCCAAGGACGAGGAUUAUUGCGGCUUAUUGGCGAAACGGACGGAAAAACAACAAACUUCUUCGAAUGCAUCGUUUUGCUCACCAGACAACACGCCUGUAUUGCCUGUCUCUGUGUAUGCGUGGCUAAUUUGCGGGAUGGACGCUUCGGAACGUCCACGCCUGCCCUGUUCCUCUGCAGGGGCAUGACGGCAGCUCGUAAAAGGCGCUCACGUUCAACCACGGACAAAAUGAAAAUCGAACAAGGGUACUAUCGGAAUCAGGAUCGAGCAGAUUUUGGAAUGCUUC